AGCGGACGCUGGCGGCAGGCCUAACACAUGCAAGUCGAACGAAGUCUUCGGACUUAGUGGCGGACGGGUGAGUAACACGUGGGAACGCACCUUUUGGUUCGGAACAACUCAGGGAAACUUGAGCUAAUACCGGAUGAGCCCUUAGGGGGAAAGAUUUAUCGCCGAAAGAGCGGCCCGCGUUAGAUUAGCUAGUUGGUGAGGUAAAGGCUCACCAAGGCUACGAUCUAUAGCUGGUCUGAGAGGAUGAUCAGCCACACUGGGACUGAGACACGGCCCAGACUCCUACGGGAGGCGGCAGUGGGGAAUCUUGCGCAAUGGGCGAAGGCCUGACGCAGCCAUGCCGCGUGAAUGAUGAAGGUCUUAGGAUUGUAAAAUUCCUUUACCAGGGACGAUAAUGACGGUACCUGGAGAAAAAGCCCCGGCUAACUUCGUGCCAGCCGCCGCGGUAA
rnacentral:rRNA from 1 species